GAUGAACGCUGGCGGCGUGCCUAAUACAUGCAAGUCGAGCGAACGGACGAGAAGCUUGCUUGUCUGAUGUUAGCGGCGGACGGGUGAGUAACACGUGGAUAACCUACCUAUAAGACUGGGAUAACUUCGGGAAACCGGAUCUAAUACCGGAUAAGAUUUUGAACCGCAGGGUUCAAAAGUGAAAGACGGUCUUGCUGACACUGAUAGAUGGAUCCGCGCUGCAUUAGCUAGUUGGUAAGGUAACGGCUUACCAAGGCAACGAUGCAUAGCCGACCUGAGAGGGUGAUCGGCCACACUGGAACUGAGACACGGUCCAGACUCCUGCGGGAGGCAGCAGUAGGGAAUCUUCCGCAAUGGGCGAAAGCCUGACGGAGCAACGCCGCGUGAGUGAUGAAGGUCUUCGGAUCGUAAAGCUCUGUUAUUAGGGAAGAACAUAUGUGUGAGUAAAUGUGGACAUCUUGACGGUACCUAAAGAGAAAGCCACGGCUAACUACGUG
rnacentral:rRNA from 1 species